UACGGAGGGAGCUAGCGUUGUUCGGAAUUACUGGGCGUAAAGCGCACGUAGGCGGCUAUUCAAGUCGGGGUGAAAGCCCGGGGGCUCAACCCCGGAACUGCCCUCGAAACUACGAUGGCUAGAAUCUUGGAGAGGCGAGUGGAAUUCCGAGUGUAGAGGUGAAAUUCGUAGAUAUUCGGAAGAACACCAGUGGCGAAGGCGACUCGCUGGACAAGUAUUGACGCUGAGGUGCGAAAGCGUGGGGAGCAAACAGG
rnacentral:rRNA from 1 species